AACGCAUAUUGCGCCUUCUGGUAUUCCGGAAGGCAUGCCUGUCCGAGCGUCAUUACGUUUCUUCAAGCCCGGCUUGUGUGUUGAGCAUCUGUUCUUUUGAUGGACAUGCUUAAAAUGCAGUGGCAAUGCUGCAUCUGGUAGCCCAAGCAUUAUAAGGCCCAUCUGCUUCGUUGGCUCCAGUCAGCAUCUAGCCUCCUAAUCCUUUAAACCGAUCCGACCUCGGAUCAGGCAAGAAUACCCGCUGAACUUAA
rnacentral:misc_RNA from 1 species